rnacentral:lncRNA from 1 species
CGCCGACGGCCAAUACUGGGCCGCCUUUGCGUUGCCAGGGUCGAACUGCGAGAAGAGGCUGUAGCGGAGCAAGGCGAGAACACCACCGACGAGCAGGAGGUCGGUAUCCUCUUCUUGACUCAAGAUUUGUUCCUCAAGGUAGUCGAUUUCAGCUUGGCAAGAUGCGGCGUCAGAGAUGCCGACGUCGGAGAGGAGCGACUUGAGCGGAGGCGGCUGGCCGAGCUCGAACUGUUGGACGGCGGCCAGGAGGCGGUGGCGUAGCGCAGCCUCGUCCGGGUCGUGGUACUGUGCGGGCGCUCGGCGGCGGCACUGGGAGCGGAGGAGGUCGAGGUGGCCGGCCGCGUCGUGCGAGAGGCGGAUGGAGGCGGCGGGGAUGACGUCGAGGACGACGGCGAGCUCGGCGUCGAGGUCGCGGAAGGAGGCGGCGAGGUGGGCGCCCCGGAGCAGCGCCCACGCGCGGCCGGCGGAGGCGACGUAGGAGACGAGCAGGUCGGCGCGGAAGAGCACGACGUAGAGCUCGCGGAAGCAGAGGUUGGCGGCGUCGGAGAAGCGGUCCGGCGCGUCGAGGAGGAGCGAGUCGAGGAGUGCGCUGAGCAGCGCGAGGCGGCGCGCGAGCGCGGCGAAGUUCCGCGGCUGCGACGGCGGGCGCGGCGCGGCGAGCAGCCCGGCGGCGAGCGAGGCGAGCGCGCGGAGCAGCGAGGCGCCGGCGAGGGCGGUGGGCGCGAAGAAGGCGCCGGCCAGCGGCAGCCUCCUCCGCCUCGGCGUGGGGCGCCGGAGCAGGAACUCCACCGGCGAGGAGGCCGACGCCGGCGAGUCCAUGGCCGCCCUCGAUUCCCUCCCCUCCUGCAGAGAGAGAAGAAAAGGGAAGCAAAUCGGUCCACCCCCACUUUUUCUUGGAUCCUUGCGUUUGACGAGCGAUUAGGUGGACGUUAGGUUAGGUGGAGGGAGGGAGGGAGGGAGGCGGCUCGACGAGAGGUGGAAAUGGUCGCGAGCUCUAUCGGAUCGGAGAGAGAGAGACUCUCUGGCUCGCGUCGCGUUGGCGUUGGCGUUGCCCAGACCAGAGGAGCGAGAGGCGGGAGUAAUCGGUGGCGUGCAAGUCGGAGGAGGAGAAGGCGAUGGAGGGGACGGCCGACCACGGUUGGGUCUUUCUACUUCUCGGCCUGCCCGCCUCGUGCCGCUGGCAUGUCAACCCUCUGCGCUUCGCCCUUCAUUUGUCUCUUUUUCCGGCAAUGCUUGGUGUACGCGUACCGCCCAGUACAGCUGUCGCAGUUUCGUUGACAGGUUGGGCCCACGUUGAUGCGGGCGUUCGGGAGGUGCAUUGGUUGCCGACCCUUUAUUAAUUCAUUCGUCACAACGUUUCACAAAGACGAAAGAAAAUUUCCCGUCAAAAAAAAAGACGAAAGAAAAUUUGAUGGUCAGGCCCUAAUAUUACGAAAACACUAACGCCAACACGUGUGGACGUUAGCCAACUCGCCCACACGCCUCGAUCACCAUCCAGUACCUUUUGCACGAAUCUUGGCACGAGAGGGCUGAUUUUGUGUGCCACGUAGGACAACUCGCGUGUGUGGCAUGUGAGGGAGUUCGCCCGCACGCUGUUUUCCUUCCGAUGUCAGCGUUUGCGACUGGGGCGUGCGGUGGAACUGCCGUCGCGCCCGCACGUCCCGCACGACUUCUGUUCCCCAUCUCCCACGACUGCCCAGUUGCCAUGUUUUUUGCAGGUUACAUGACAACUGCCCUGUUCAUGAUUGUAAGUAGAUGGCAACUCUCUUUUACCCUGAACAUGUUAUUGUUGCCACGUCUGUUUUGUAGCGCUACAUGGCAACUGUCUAGCAUUAGUAGGUGGCAACUCCUAAAGAUACCACGGUAGUCCACAUGCUCGUCUACUCUCCCACACACCAAAAGCUAUCAGUUGCCAUGUGUGUUUUGCAGGGUACAUGGCAACUGCCCUAGUGUGCUUGUAAGCAGAUGGCAACUCUCUCUUUACCCGGACAUGUUUUUUUGUCAUGUUUCGUAGUGCUACAUGGCAACUGUCUAGUGUAGUAGGUGGCAACUUCUGAAGUUUUCAAAUCAUGGCAACUGUAGUAGACCAGACCAUACAUGGCAACAGCUGCAGUUGCCCAAAAAUGGCAUCCGGCACUUGACCUGAGAUGACAACUGUAGUUGAGCAAUCAUGGCAACUGUAGUUGUCCGACAUGGCAACUGUAAUUCAGCGACAUGGCAACUGCAGUUCAGCGACAUGGCAACUGGAGUUACACGUACAUGGAGGAGGGUUCGGACCAUGGCAAUCGCGGCGGGACGUGUGGUUACUGCCACGCGGGGCGUGUAGCUCGCAGGCGGGGAGGGGCGACGGGCGAGACGGGUCGUGCGGGCCGCGUGGUCGCUCGCCCGGACGUGCUCAUGCGGGCGAUCGCGCCGCACCCCGAACGUGCGGGCUGUAGCGGGGUGCGCCCGGACGUGCUCGGGCGGGCGGGCCUGUGUCGAUGCCACACGGGGCGUGCGGCAGAUACCCCCUAGAUGCCACACGUGUGGCAGUUAUCGACGUCCUAAUAUUAACGGCGCAUGCUCUGGAUUCUGAGCAUCAUAGUUUGAGCUCCUAAAUUCAUGGACAAUAUUAUAUUACAUUAAAUAAAGAUAUUAUGAUGAGGACAUCAAUACCAUUGUUACACCCACAAUCCCUAUUGUUACAUAUAAUGGACCAAUUACUAGAGCUCGCGCACGCCAAUUAAAUUAUCAGGUACUUUCGUUUUUUGGUAAUGAUUCUAAUGUUCAUGAGAAUAUGAUGCUGCCUAAAUUGGAUACUUUUGUUUUGCUUACAAAUGAAGGGCCUAGCUUGGAGAAGGAUGAACAUUGGAGUAAGAACAAGCAUGGAGUUGAUGGCAUGCACAAGGGGAACAAGAACGGAGUUACAAGUGAUGAUUUCAAGACUUUGAAGCCACCAUAAGGAGUGAAUGAAGCCUUAGACGAAAUAUACAAGAUGCCACUUCAUAAAUUUCGUCCAGAGGCUAUUCUAGAUGCUGCGUCACCUUAUUAUUGGGCCAGGCCCAUGUAAUUUCGAAAUACAUAAGUAUAGGCUGUUUUUAGAGUCCGUAUGUGUGGGGAAACAAGAGAUAGGGUUGGUUUCGGACCCCUUCCCCAAGGGCCACGAAAUCCCCCCCCCCCUCUUCCUCCAUAUAUACAACCCUUAGGGCACCGUUUAGACUUUGGGUUUUGUUUAGAUUAAAAGUUCGCCAUAGCUGCAACUUCGCGUACUUCGUUUGUGUUCAACGACCAGACAAAGGAGUCACAGAACCCCAUCUUCAUUAAUAAAGCUU